UUGAGGUGAAGUUCUGUUUUACACUCCGGCUGUGAGUAAGUGGAAGUCAGUGCAUCACAGAACUUUGUCUCGAG
rfam:Xenopus laevis strain J chromosome 2L, whole genome shotgun sequence.